CGAGGCUAUGACUGAAACUGAAACAGAAAACAUACAAGAUGCAAAUAUGGAGGAACAACAAUCUUCCUUGGUGGAUGGUCUUAAAACUCCCACUACUGUGGCUGAUCAAGAAUCCACAGCCGUGGAGUGCUUGUCCGAC